rnacentral:lncRNA from 1 species
UUUAGCUCAAAUAUAUAAAUUUUUAGCAAAAUAUAUUCAAUUGUUUUUAAUAAAUGAUAUACAUUAGUAAGAAUACAUAAUUAAAGGUCAACAGUAUCAUUCAAAGAUAAAUUAAAAUACUAAAAUAUUGUUACACUCAAAAUGUAACAGUAUUCUUUUACAAGAUAAAGAAUAAUUUCAUACAUAAUUCUUUUACAAUACGAAUAAUAAAGUUUUAAAAGAAAACUAGCUAAUGUGAGACUGGAUAGUGAUGAUAACCAUCAGCGGACUAUGAAGAGAAGUGAAAACCCAAAAGUGCUCCAAUGCUUUUCUAAUACCAGGUUCCGAUCGCGAGUUGAGACACAUUAGUGGAUUGUAUUUGUACCAAAUGCGUGAAAGAAAUUGUUCUUCUUAUGGAUAUCAAGAAGGGCGCAGUAAAGACUGCCAUGUUACCCUCCUAAUCUUGCAGGACUGCCACCUUCUCGUCUACAAUUAUAUAUGAACGAGUCAUAGACUCUAACCUGUAUAUAAAAAAAAAUGACAUCCACGCCAUAAGUUUAGUACAUUAACUAGUUGGGACUUGUUAAUCACGUUUGAAUUGAACAACCGUUUCUUUGGUAGGGUAAGAUUCUGCCAGAAACAACAACCUGCUUCUUUAAAACCUUAAGAUUAUUAAUGUAAUGUAUAUACCAAAAGACUGGAAACCGUUCAAAACAUAAGCCUUAUUUAGCAGUUCUUAAUUUGAAGCACAACACUAUAAGAAAAUACUACCAACCUCAUAAGUUGCAUUCUUCUUAGUAUCUGAUAACGAAGCGUUUCCAAGUCUGAGGUCUUGUAAAUCCUUAAGUUUGUAACUGCCCAAAAAUUAUAUUCUCAUAUUUCUUGGAUCAAGUAAAGAUCACAAGCUAAACUAGUUCAAAUCACACCCAUUUCAUAACAACAAACAGUCCUAGAUUAAAAUAUUACUAUUCUCAAUAAAAUUUCAGAAGUCCUAUAGAUUUUAACAAGAAUUUUGUAAAUACUCCAUCCUUCACUGGUUAGUAUAUCCAAUUGAAUUUGUUUUGAGAAAGAGUGAAGUAUCAUAUAUACCUCAUGAUUAUUACACUUGUUUGUUUCUACAUUGAUGCCCAUAAUGCAAUUGCCUGAAAAGACUCAUUCAGGUUUAAUUAAAAAGGAAUGAACCUCAUCACCAUAGUGCAACAUAAAUUUGGAGCAUAUGCUUACAAAUGAUUGUGCUAAUGCAUCUCAUAAUUUCACCCUUAUAAGUUGUUGGAAUAUUUAUACUGUAUGUUUGAGAAGUUUUCCUACUAUCUCAGCAAAUUCAUUGGAUAGCGUCUACAAGUGUUUAGGAGUUAUGGCUUUAUCCUAAUUGUUGUAUUGAAGUUUUAGAAAUAAAGGGAUGGUAAUAUUUUAACAACCAACUCUUUUUCACCUAUUUGCAUGCUUCCUUCAUUGCUAGCUGCCACAAGAAGUGCAAAAAAUAUAUAGAAAGCAAAGAUGCAUUUCCAUAUGACUAUUUAUUUAGUAAGUUACACAUCAAAUGAAUACAGAUACUCAACCUAUAUCCACUCAACUGAUCAUCAAGUUUGGGUGAAAAUUGUGCCUCGCGAACUCAUUUGCUCUCUGCAAAUAUUCACAUAGAUAUUAACCACUACAACUGUGAACAAUACCUACUCUAAUAGAGAAAAUUUAUUAGCAUAGUUUUUUUGUGUGCAUAUAACUGUAAACUGUGCACAACCCAAAAAGCCAUUUAAGAUCCCAAUCUGCAAAUGGAGGUAAUGAAGAAUAAACAAUAUACAAGAAAUUAUAGGAAAAAAGGCUUGUCCUGACUUAGUAUGACAUAAAUCAAGAUUGAACUACUAAUUCCCAUUUCAUACAACAAACUAAUUUAAACAGAUUAUAAAAGGCAAAUCUAGGAAUUAAAAUAUACAAAAAAGCUCCUCCAUUCAUAAUAAUUGGAGACAUUCCAAAUUCAUUGCUUUGAAUUUGGCAAUCUUUUAAAUUCUUGGCACUAAUCAAUAUAGCUAAAGCAGGGAUUGACAUUUUUCUGCCACACUGUAAUGAUGAAACUGAAAAGAACUAUUCCCAAUCAAGAAUCUUAGGAAAGCAGUGGUAACAAUCAAAAUUAAGAAGAGAAACAAAAGAAAGACUAGGUUGGCCAUACCUUGACGGUUAUGUUUUCCAAGAGGAGGACGAGGGUUCUGGGAUGGUUGGUUAGAGUGUGGAAGGAUUGGGAGAGAUGGUGCCGAUAGAUUUUGGGGGGAAAUCGUAUGGGAGUCUGAAUUUUUUUAGGUCUUUAAGGGAAUUGAGAGAGGCGUAACUUUAGGUCUUUAAGGGAAUCUUUUUUUUUUUU